GUAUUAAUUACCCCCGCAGUAUCAAAUACGCAAGUUUUAAUAACUGUAAAGGAGCACGCAUUUUUAAAACCCAGCAGUCAGCACCAUCUAUAGGCAGAACUUGCACGCUACCGGGCGAGUUCUCCACCGGAUUGCCGCUCUUAACCGUCCCGGCGACUGAUGUGCGUUGAAAGACUAAACCCUAAAUCAAUUAUCCUGAUCUUUAUUGGUAUUUUGCUGUUCUUCCCAUUAUCUUCUAUUCUCUCACAAAAAAGAAUAAGGAAAAUUCAAGAACUCGAUUGAAUUUUUUAAAAAUUCAAAGGAAUUGUUGUUUUUCAAGAAAAUUUAAUAAACCCCUUUUUUAAAAUAUAAGUUAUGUUGCCACCCUGGCGGUGGUAGUGUAGUGUAGGUUAAGGAUGUUCAAGAAUUUCGAAUGGCUCUAGCAGCAAGUAUUUAUACAGUGUCACGUGAGAGGAACUAAAGAAUAUUUCAGAACAAAUUGAGGCCAGUUGGUGUUCUUAUACGAAUGAUUGUCGAAGAAAUUCACGUUAGAGGAGGAAGGAAGGCAAAACUAGUUAGUGCUUUGAAUAGUCUAGAUUACUAUCCAUAGCUAGUUUGAAUGUUAAAGAAUGAUUUGAUCUGCAAGACUGGGGCUGUCCAUUUGAAUUUUCUUUGUACUUACAUGGCUCUUUGGUAAUAAUAUCUGUUAUUUCAAAUAUAAAAACGUAAGUAUUUUAAUUAUAAGUAAGUUGUGAUUUGUAGUAUUGUUAAUGAAGAUAAUAAAUUGGACAGAGUUUCAUAAACCCCCAGUGACCAUUUUCCUUUGCAUGGUUUAGACUUUGAUUUUGAUUGUUUCUUAAAAAUGGAAAAUUGUGCCACGUAAGAGAAGUGAAUUAUAUGGUUCGUCUUCUCUUAUUUUUGUUAAUGUUUGAAUCAGUAGAGGUGGGCUGCGUAUAAUAUCAUAGCUAGGUGACAAAACGAUGGCAAGUCGUGCUAUUGUUUCGAUUAAUUGCACCUGGGAAUUUGUUUGCUACUUGCACAAACAAAACAGUCACAGCCUGUUGAGGUUUUUCAAUGAAUUCUUGUGUUCAUUUGUUUGCUACUUUUGAUGAUGGGGGCAUAUGCUUUAUAUGAAAAUUGAUACUAUUUUUCUCCCUAGUAUGUUGCUCCAUUCUAGUAUCGUUAUUUUCUUCCAAAUAAAAUAUUUCAAUAUCGCAACUCUAUUUCUUUUUUCCAUGAAAUUUACUUCCUUGUUGGACUGUUCAUUUUAUGUUUGAACCUAACCUAGUUUCUACAAGGUAUCUCUCCAAUUGGCAUUGGUAAGUUUUAGUUUCUUUUACAUUGAUCUGAUGCAUUUUGAUGAGCAGAAAGUUCUGUUCAAUUUAUUAUUUUACUUCAUCACUGAAGUUGUAAUUUCUUUUAAAGGAUCCAGUAUCUCACGAGAUGGACUGGUGCUGAUGGGAGAAAGAUAUGAUAAUCUUUUCUAUUGUAUUGAUGCUGCUGUACAUAAUUUAUUUUGCCUGAUUACUAUGAUGUUCAUCACUUGGAAUGGUUGUUUAGUCUGUAGGAUAUUGAUCAAAUGAUAGACUGUUUAUUGGUUUGUGUUCAUUAAUAUUUGUUACAGAUGUUCUUUUAUCUUUAAUUUUGUGUCUUUACCUGUAAUUGAGGAAAGUUGUAUAGCUGUAGCCUGUACACAAAACAAAAUAUUAAGGCUUACAUUUUGGAGAUAGAGAGAUGAAAGAUAUUUGUUGUUGAUCACUACUUUAUGUAGAGGUGUUUUGAUUAUUUAUUGUGGUUGAAGUUGAGUUGGAACAUACAUAUUGGUACUUAUAUGGAGACAGUAUAUGUUUCUGUUUCUUUCAUCUUCUGUCUUCAUUUUUGUCUGACCAUCUUAAUAUGGUUUCUUAUGCUUCAUUUACGCUAGCGACAUCAAAGUACAGCCAUUCAGACGACAUUCGUACUUACCUAGCAAGCUUUGGCUUUAAAGGAGAGGUUCAGAGCUCUAUUUCUGUCUUUCUUUGGUGGAAAUUGUUGCUAAAACUCACUGGAGACGAAAUGAAUAUCGUAAUGUUUUGAAGGGUUCAAUCACACAUAUGGGUGGUACCAUAUGUCUUGGAUUAAUAAGAAUGUAUUUUCAAGUAAAAAAUUCUGAACCUGCAAUACUAUUUGGCAACCAGAGCUUUGUAGAUGAGAGGCACGUCAUAGAUAUGAGGUGAAUCCUGUUAUGGUGUAGCAAUUUGAAGAUGCUGGCCUUUCUUUCACUGGAAAAGAUGAGUGUGGUUGCCGCAUGGAGGUGAACCGUUAACGUAAUUGAAUUAUGAAGUCAUGAUAAAUACUCGUAGUGUUGUUAUUGGUUUAAUUAUAAUUGAAUUAUGAAGCCAUUGAAUGGAAAUAUGUGAAGUUUUUAUUGUUUAAGGCCCCACACACACAACUCUAAAUAAAAUUAAGUAGUUUAAUUUUAAGAAGUUGUGAUUUGUAGUACUUUGAAUGAAGACAUUUAAUUGGACAGACUACCAUAUACACCCUCAGUGGUCAUUUUCUUUUACAUGGUCUAGACUUUUUUUCUUCUUUGAAAUGAACAUGGUCUAGAAUUUUUUAUUUUGAUUGUUUCUUAAGAGUUGAAAAUUGUGUCAUGUAAGAGAAUGGGGAAUUUUAUGUUUUCGGAUUUAAUUAAUGUCUUGAGGAUCAAUAGAUGUGGGCUGCUGAGGAUAUGGCAAGUCGUUGUACAAAAGGUAGUGAUCGAUGAGACUCUUUCAUUAAUUCUUAUGUUCCUUUGUUUGCUAGUUCUGAUUACGAGGGCAUAUGCUUUACAUGAAAAUUGAUAUACGUUUCCUCCUAUUAGCAUGAUGCUCCAUUCUAGUAUCGAAGUAUUUUUUCCCCAAAUGAAUAUUCUUAUAUCACAAUACUAUUUCUUUUUUCCAUGAGAUUUACUUCCUUGUAGGACUGUUCUUUUGAUGUUUGUUAUUCUUAUAAGUUGUGUUCUCCUAGGUGAACUUUAAGAUGGAUGAUAAUGGUAAGUAUUAGUAUCGGCGACAUUGAUCUAAUGCAUUUUGAUGGACAUAAAGUUCUGGCCAAUUUAUUAUUUUCCUUCAUCCCCUGAAGUUGUAAUUUCUUUUGAAGGAUCUGGUGUCUCACGAGAUGGACAAGGAGAGAAAGACAUGGUAAUUGUUUUGCAACAUAUUGGACUGACAACUAUUAUGUUCAUAACUUGGAAUGGUUGUUGUAGUCUAUAGGGGUUGCAUGCAUUACUCAACUGAUAGGCUGUUGACGGUUUGUGUACGUUAAUAUCUUUUUGCAGAUGUUCUUUUGUUUAUUGUUUUUCGGUUUUACUUGUAAUUGGGCAAACUGGUACAGCUGUACGCAACACAAAAUAUUGAUGCUUACAUUUUGUUUUUGCUUUUACUGUAUGAUGUCAUGUACUUCGCAUUCCUUUCAUCUUCUUUUGUGUUUCCUUGUUGUCUGGCCAUUCUUUCUACUUUUUAUAUGCGCCUUUACAACAACGACAUCAAAAUACAACCAUUCAGAUGAUUUGCAUCCUUCCCCAGCAAGCUUUGGCUUUAAUAGAAACCAUUUACGCGGAGCUGUUCGUUGCACAGAAGCCUGAUACAUGAUGGAUCAUCUUUGUUUAUUCCAGAUAAGUUGAGGAUAUUUCCUGUCUUAUUCUCUUCAGAUUUUGUUCAUUUGCACGCAAUGAAGAUGACCUUCUUUGCACACGUGCUUGUCCUUCUCUGUUUCUGCUGUUGUCCAGUGGGUUCGGGUGUCAUCUGAGUUCCCUUAACAAAUUGAAUGCAAGUGAUGGUUCAUAUAAACUCUCAGGAUAUAUCUCUGGUAUGUUCACACAGUGAAGGUCUUUCAAUAUUUUUGUAUGAACUUAUUUCAGUAUAUUUUCCUGAACAAAGAAAAUGGAAACUAAUCGUUGGGAUAUCAAUUCAAGAUUUAUUUCCAAAAGACCAACACAUAAAUUACUUAAUAACAUAGAGAUGAGUUUUGGUAGUGCUUCUGACAUUGAGUAGCGAAAUAGAUCUCAGAUUUUUUUUUGAGACAGUAACAACAAAAUAGAUCUCAGAUUUAUCCACUGUGUUUUUUGAACCUGAACUGCUCAAGAUCUUUACAUGAUUUGACUUUGGAGCCUUCAAUGACCUCUGUGGAACUUAAGAGGGUUAUUUCCUGUUAAACAUGAGGCUGCUGUCACAUAUGAUUUUGGAAACAUCGAACGUAAUCUCUUGGUCCCUGCCAUAAAUAAUUUGGAGAAAGAGGACUGCAAAGUGUGAUCUCAAUUUUAUGCUCUUUCUAGUGAGAAGAUGUCCAGAAUAGAGGAACUUGUUACAUGGGAUGUUUAUGGUUCAGGUCCUUCUGAAUUCUAUUAUGAUGGAGAUGAUUUGACACAUGCAAUCUCAUGGUGAAGAGAUUCUUAAGAAUUAUUUGAUACCACGAGCUAUGCUCUCCUCUAGGGUGGAUGGUGACUUACAUAAAUGGAUUGAUGCUGGAAGUCGAGGUAAAACAGAUGAGCUUAUUAGGAAGAAGAAGAGUACAAAAAGUCAUUCAGCUCCUCCAUUUUACCAAGGCAAGAAGAAGUUCUUUGCCACGGCUGAGUCUUCAAGAAAGGCAGCAGGAAAUAAGAAUAUUAUGACUGUUCAUGAUGUGCCACUCAUGCCAGCUGUAAGGAGACUGCAUCAUUCUGUAGAAGCUAUCUGCUUGGAGCUUCACGACAGUCAUCCCAUCAAUGUGAUCAAUCUUCCACCCCAAGUUGCGGUGACAGUGAAUUCUCUGAUGAAAGUUCAAGUGUGAAACUGAAACUUGUGGACAUUGGAAUAGCAAAUUACAAGCUCUAGGGGAGUGCACAAGCACACGAUGGGUAGUCAAAAUAAAGUAAACUUAUCCUGCCAUUUGUUCCUGACAUGAAUAAGAGAGCUGAAUUUUUCUACUGCGUGUUUAAGUUGAAUUUUUCUCUGGAUAAUGUAUUAGCUUGCUGAUACAGAUGGAUCAUCAAUAAUUAGAUUCUCUCUCCCAUGUCCUACUGUCUCCUAGCUUGGUCACAUAAGGGAGCCAAAAUACCCCAUCAGUGAAUCGGGUCCUGAAUAACAAGGCUUGCAAGGAGUAAGUUAAUACUACUAUUUAAUUUAUGAAUUUGGAGCUAUUUUGAUGCUCUCUCUCCUCCUCCCACCCCCACAUAAGAAGCGAAAGAACAAGGAAUUAGAGCCAAAAUUCAUUUGAAAUAUUUUCUUUA